rnacentral:rRNA from 1 species
UGCCCAAACUCCUACGGGAGGCUGCAGUAGGGAAUUUUCCGCAAUGCACGAAAGUGUGACGGAGCGACGCCGCGUGUGUGAUGAAGGCUUUCGGGUCGUAAAGCACUGUUGUAAGGGAAGAAUAACUGAAUUCAGAGAAAGUUUUCAGCUUGACGGUACCUUACCAGAAAGGGAUGGCUAAAUACGUGCCAGCAGCCGCGGUAAUACGUAUGUCCCGAGCGUUAUCCGGAUUUAUUGGGCGUAAAGCGAGCGCAGACGGUUUAUUAAGUCUGAUGUGAAAUCCCGAGGCCCAACCUCGGAACUGCAUUGGAAACUGAUUUACUUGAGUGCGAUAGAGGCAAGUGGAACUCCAUGUGUAGCGGUGAAAUGCGUAGAUAUGUGGAAGAACACCAGUGGCGAAAGCGGCUUGCUAGAUCGUAACUGACGUUGAGGCUCGAAAGUAUGGGUAGCAAACGGGAUUAGAUACCCCGGUAGUCCAUACCGUAAACGAUGGGUGCUAGUUGUUAAGAGGUUUCCGCCUCCUAGUGACGUAGCAAACGCAUUAAGCACCCCGCCUGAGGAGUACGGCCGCAAGGCUAAAACUUAAAGGAAUUGACGGGGACCCGCACAAGCGGUGGAGCAUGUGGUUUAAUUCGAAGAUACGCGAAAAACCUUACCAGGUCUUGACAUACCAAUGAUCGCUUUUGUAAUGAAAGCUUUUCUUCGGAACAUUGGAUACAGGUGGUGCAUGGUCGUCGUCAGCUCGUGUCGUGAGAUGUUGGGUUAAGUCCCGCAACGAGCGCAACCCUUGUUAUUAGUUGCCAGCAUUUAGUUGGGCACUCUAAUGAGACUGCCGGUGAUAAACCGGAGGAAGGUGGGGACGACGUCAGAUCAUCAUGCCCCUUAUGACCUGGGCAACACACGUGC